GACGAACGCUGGCGGCGUGCUAAACACAUGCAAGUCGAACGGAAAGGCCCUUCGGGGUACUCGAGUGGCGAACGGGUGAGUAACACGUGGGUGAUCUGCCCUGCACUUUGGGAUAAGCCUGGGAAACUGGGUCUAAUACCGAAUAGGACCGCGCGCUUCAUGGUGUGUGGUGGAAAGCUUUUGCGGUGUGGGAUGGGCCCGCGGCCUAUCAGCUUGUUGGUGGGGUAAUGGCCUACCAAGGCGACGACGGGUAGCCGGCCUGAGAGGGUGACCGGCCACACUGGGACUGAGAUACGGCCCAGACUCCUACGGGAGGCAGCAGUGGGGAAUAUUGCACAAUGGGCGCAAGCCUGAUGCAGCGACGCCGCGUGAGGGAUGACGGCCUUCGGGUUGUAAACCUCUUUCACCAGGGACGAAGCGCAAGUGACGGUACCUGGAGAAGAAGCACCGGCCAACUACGUG
rnacentral:rRNA from 1 species